rnacentral:lncRNA from 1 species
UGAUGAUCUCGAUAAGGACAUAGGGUGUAUCAUCAGCAAGUUUGCAGAUGAUACCAAGUUAAGCAGGAGUGUUGACUCCCAGGAGGAUAGGGAAGCCCUACAGAGGGACCUAGAUAGAUUGGAUCACUGGGCCAAGAUCAAUGGCAUGAGUUUCAACAAGGGCAAGUGCCAGGUUCUGCACUUGGGCCACAACAACCCCAUGCAGCGCUACAGGCUGGGGGAAGUGUGGCUGGAAAGCUGCCUGGAGGAAAGAGACCUGGGGGUUCUAAUUGACAAACGGCUGAAUAUGAGCCGGCAGUGUGCCCAGGUGGCCAAGAAAGCCAAUGGCAUUCUGGCUCGUAUCAAGAAUAGUGUGACCAGCAGAAGUAGGGAGGUGAUUAUGCCCCUGUACUCGGCACUGGUGAGGCCACACCUCGAGUAUUGUGUCCAGUUUUGGGCACCUCAAUACAAGAGAGAUAUCGAGGUGCUGGAGCGAGUGCAGAGGAGGGCAACGAAACUAGUGAAGGGCCUAGAAGACAAAUCAUACGAAGAGCGGCUGAAGGAGCUGGGGCUGUUCAGUAUGAGGAAGAGGAGGCUGAGGGGAGACCUCAUCACUCUCUACAACUACUUGAAAGGACACUGUAGAGAGGUUGGUGCUGGUCUCUUCUCACAGGUAAUUAACAAUAGAACGAGAGGGAACGGCUUCAAGCUCCAACAGGGUAGGUUUAGAUUGAACAUUAGGAAGGAAUUCUUCACAGAGAGAGUGGUUGGGCAUUGGAAUAGGCUGCCCAGGGAGGUGGUUGAGUCACCGUCCCUGGCUGUGUUUAAGGGACGUUUAGAUGCGGUACUGAGGGAUAUGGUGUAGGGGAGGACUUUGUAGAGUAGGGUAGAUGGUUGGACUCGAUGAUCCCAAGGGUCUCUUCCAACCUCAAUGAUUCUAUGAUUCUAUGAUUCUAUGAUUCUAUGAUGCUUUACGAUAUACCAGCUAUCCAGGUACAGCAGUGCCUUCCUCUCAGCUUCUUGGUGCCUGCAAUACUUGAAGA